rnacentral:rRNA from 1 species
GACGAACGUUGGCGGUGCGCUUAAUGCAUGCAAGUCGAGGGAGAACCAGUUGAUUCGUAAGAAUCGGUUGGGGAAACCGGCGAACGGGUGCGUAACACGUGAGGAACCUGCCCCGAAGACCGGGAUAGCCCGAGGAAACUCGGAUUAAUACCGGAUACCCUCUUUGGAUCACAUGGUCGAUUGAGGAAAUGGUCCGCCGCUUCGGGAUGGCCUCGCGGCCUAUCAGCUUGUUGGUGAGGUAAUGGCUCACCAAGGCAGAGACGGGUAGCUGGUCUGAGAGGAUGGUCGGCCACACUGGGACUGAGACACGGCCCAGACUCCUACGGGAGGCAGCAGUGGGGAAUUUUGCGCAAUGGGGGCAACCCUGACGCAGCGACGCCGCGUGGGUGAAGAAGGCCUUCGGGUUGUAAAGCCCUGUCUGGGGGGAAGAUAGUGACGGUACCCCCGGAGGAAGCCCCGGCUAACUACGUG